GGGGUGUGCAAGGAUCAGAGAUUCGUCGACUGAAAGGUGGGGACGAAUUAACCCAGUCAAAGAUUUACUGAAGAACCAAAGGAAGAAUGUGCACAGAAGGAAAACAUACAAAGGAAACAAGAAAGAAACUCGAUGAUGUUGACGAGACGCAAGCAGACUCCAUGGUCGGUGGAAAGUAAGUAGAAGAAAUCUAGAACUGGAACUGUUUGACAUGUCCUUUUACGUAGCAAAUGCCUGAAAGGAUCCUGCUUUGUCCUGCGGAUGUUGUUGUUUCAUCAAUGAAGCAUGCUGGAUGAGUCAUUGGGACCCCAUUCCAUGCUGGAUAGAAUGGACUGGACAUGCAAUUUAUCUGAUAAAGAAGGAAGAAUUAGGGUGGAGUUUGGAUGAGAAGUGAUUGUGAACUAAAUUGAUUGGUGGAUGCACACCAGUCUCUGAAUCUUAGGGAAGAAACACAACUUAGAGGGCAACAUACCAGCUCUGGUGGUCUUCCUCCAUCCUCAUUGACACCAAAGAGGUUACUUAGUAUUAGUUCCCUUCAAAUCUCUCCCUGCUUAGUCUAUGACCUUCAGUUCAACCUCUUCAUGCAAUCACACCUUCCUGUCUAUUGUUAAGUCUCAGUGCUGCAUUAGAUAUAAACCCUUUUAAGACCUCUACUCCUUUCUAUAGUUACCUUUAAUUAAUUUAUCCUUUAAAAGAUUUGUGAAAUUUAAGUCAUUGCAUAUGGUUGUUAGUGAGAAAUGUGUAGGAGUUGAUUGUUCUUCCUUUUCUUGUCCAUUUAAAUAUGUUAUUGACUGGUGUACUCAACAUCAAACUGAUUCUUGGAGAACAAAGAUCUGCAUCUGCACCUAAAAAAACAAAAAAAUCUGAGAUACUUUGAUAGUCAGAUCAAUUCUGGAAUUUUUCCAUGUUAAAGGUGAGUUUGAAAUCUUAUCACAUCAUGUUGUGAUUGCCAUAUUGCCAUGAAGUUCAGAACACUUUUUCCUUUUUGGCAUUCACAAGUACUGAUUGUGCACUGAUAUUAUACAUGCGAAGAUAUAUAUAAUACACACAAACACGAAGACACACUAAAGACUACUAUGUAUUUAGAUGGCAAUCUGAUAAAUUGAUUCUAUCUCUCAGAAAUGUAUGUUCCUGUGACCCUCCGAUUAAGAACUCGUAAAAUGCCACAGAUAAUGGAUGCCCAUUUGAGAAUUAUUUGGCUAAUUUACAAUUGUCUUUUCUUCCUCAACCAUUAUCCUCCAAUUAAGAGUUUGUUAUAUGCUAAAGUUUUUUUGCUCUUGUCAUGUGCAAUUGUCUUUUUUCCCUCAACCCUUCAUUAGUGUUUAUCUGAAAUGCCUUCACGUUCCAAAGUCUCCCAACUGUUGCCACUCUUUCACUGUUAAACAACUCUGAUAAAUCUUCUCUUCUUUGAUAAAACUCUGACAAAUCUUAGUGACACAACUUCUUGGAUUCCUUUUAUUUAACAUAAUACAGUUGUUUACAUUUCCGAGUCAGCUAAUUUUGUGUUUUCCAUUUUCUUCUACCUGAUCUUGCAAAGUUCCCAAAUUCUCUCCAACGAUAAAAUUAAGCAAAAGAUUAUGGAAAUCAAGUGUGUAUUUACAUGUUUAUUGCUUUUUAAUUUUUAAUAACGAAGUAUAUAGCUACUAAUAGACACAGAACUUUCUCAUGAGUUACAGUCAUUCAUGAAUUCACAGGCUUGUUGUUAAGGAUCAGGACAAAUCAUGCAUAUAUGAUCACAAAUAUUGUAUGCUGUUGUAAAAUCAAAAUGAAAGCCAUGUGUAUCACUGUAAAGACCAUGAAACAAUUGGAUUUAGUAACAGGAAAAGGCUUCUUCUUUUGCAGUUGAGAAAAGAAUAACUUCUUUCCUGCACAAAAAAGAACAAGAAAACAAGUGGAAGAUUUGAUAUGCAGCCUAUCUUUCUUUUUUCUUGGUGCUGAAAGAGGAGAUAAACUUAUGACACAAAUGGCAGGCAGCAGCACAAUGCAGAUCACCGAGUACCAUUAAUGCAUGCAACGAAACGGGGGUUUCCAUACUUUCCGGCCUUGGCCUGCGGCGAGUAGAGCUCCAG
rnacentral:lncRNA from 1 species